UCAGAGGCGAGGGCCAUAAAUGAGCGGGUCGAGCAGCACUUUAAACACAUUUCUCAGUAAUCACUGACUAGAGAUAAGCCAAAAUGCCAGGAACAAAAGGUAAUAAGCAGGACAAGAAGUCAGCUACCAAGCAACCUCAGAGUCCUAAAGAGCAGCCGAAGAAAGUUGAUCAGAAAGGAGACGACACUAAGAAACAAGGAGCAGGACAGCCGAAGGGAGAGAAGCAAUAACUUCCAGGCGUUCGUGAAGAUGGCGCUGGAGACUCUGCUGGGUUCCUGCCGCCGUAAACAUGGUGGUGCCCGGGGCAAACAGGGCUGAUACCCUCCUCAACUCCUCAACUCCUCACCCCUUUAGCACUUCUUCCUCACCUCCUCUCCCCUCAGCCUGCAGACCGGGCUCUCACAGAGAAAGAAAGUGAACCUGAUCCAUCUGUUCUUCCCCCCCCUCCCUCACUGGUUUAUGGGAUGCUCAGGAUCUGACUUCAGGUGAAACAGGACUUCUGAUCGGACAUAAAUAUGUUGUCACCCCCUAACA